UUGGAGGGCAAGUCUGGUGCCAGCAGCCGCGGUAAUUCCAGCUCCAAUAGCGUAUAUUAAAGUUGUUGCAGUUAAAAAGCUCGUAGUUGAAUUUCGGGGUCAGCAGGUUGGUCGUGCCAAUGGUAUGAACUGGCCUUGCUGAUUCCUCCCUCUUGAUGAGCCGUAAUGCCAUUAAUUUGGUGUUGCGGGGAAUCAGGACUGUUACUUUGAAAAAAUUAGAGUGUUUAAAGCAGGCAAGCGCUUGAAUACAUUAGCAUGGAAUAAUGAAAUAGGACGUUUGAUCCUAUUUUGUUGGUUUCUAGGAUUGACGUAAUGAUUAAUAGGGAUAGUUGGGGGCAUUAGUAUUCAAUUGUCAGAGGUGAAAUUCUUGGAUUUAUUGAAGACUGACUACUGCGAAAGCAUUUGCCAAGGAUGUUCUCAUUAAUCAAGAACGAAAGUUAGGGGAUCGAAGACGAUCAGAUACCGUCGUAGUCUUAACCAUAAACUAUGCCGACUAGGGAUCGGAUGAUGUUAAUUUUUUAAUGACUCAUUCGGCACCUUACGGGAAAC
rnacentral:rRNA from 1 species